GAGCCAGACACAAUUGGAGCAAUUCAGCACAUUCCUCCAUGUUGACCUAUGGACAGGGCACAAGAGACGUGUAUACUGCUCAAUUGCUGGUUAAUUACAGCAAUUUUCUAUGGAUUUUUAAAGACUGGUAUUUCAAGGACUGAUCUGAGCAAUUAUUUCACUGGUCAUCAGUAUGAAAUGGAAGAGAUGAAAACAGCAACAAGAUGGCAUGUACAUCAUGACUAUUGAAUGAAACAAUUAUAGUUACAAACAUUCUUUUAAGUAAGCUACUGAAAUAAGGAAGAACGGUGGCAACUAAAAUUUAUUUAAAGGCUAUUUGAUCCAAGAAGAUCCCACAUGCCUCGGAGCAGGAGAAAGCGACUGCCAGUAAAAGGCUGAGACACAAUAGGAAGAGAGGCCCCGUGAUGCGGAGAGAGACCAAAGGGCUCAGUGCCCGUGCUCACACACACACACACACACGCGCGCGCGUGCGCUCUGUGUGUGCGCCUCUCUGUGUGUACACAGUGGACAAGAGGAAAUUAUUGUCAUGGGAUCCAUCUUUAAUACAAUGGUGAUAUGUCAUAACUGAAAGGUCAUACAGAUGGUCUGCCCACUUCGCAGAGGGAGAAGGUGACUUGUUAGAGCUCGCUUGUAGGUGCUGAGGCUUCUGAUGGAACAGUCACCCACGCAAGCCUGCAGUGACAUUAUCGCCAGCUUCAUACCUAGCCCCUUCCGUCCACCCUCGGUGCCACUUGCCAUUCCUACUUCAGUCGGCACGACAGCUUCCCAUAGUUUGCGAGCCUCCACCCUUGCCGCCCUCCAGUCCGCGCUCCUCGCUGUCAUCUGCUGCAGUCGGGCGACCUUUCUAAAGCAACUGUCCACGAAUUCUCAAAUAUGCGUUUAUUUCCAAAUGACAGGCACGUACUCUGGCUACCACAUUAAAGUGAAUGUGUCAACCAGGUAGAGAAAGAGAAAAAUUUUA